AAUUUAAAGGUGCUGAUGAAGUGAUUACAAAUCUCCCCAUGGCAAACAACCCCUGGCAUACUUAUGAAGACAAUGAUUCUUCAAUUCAUUCACAUGUGGAAGAAUUCCGCGAGGAUGACAAUGGUAAUGUUUCUUUUACUUCAUCUAUGAAAUAUACAACCAGGACCAGAGGGUGUCUGCCUAAGAAACAUCUUUCGUCUUCUUUUAAGGCAAGUGAAUAAAUGUUUCAAGCCAUGGCGUCAAUCUACAUACAUUCAGGAUCUUGCCUAGUGUGCAACUUCAUAUGUCUGUUUCCUGACACUUCUCAGCAGAAGAAACCAUCUCUAACAUUCCAAAGUGGGCAGAGCCCAGAAGUGCAGCUGAGAAAGCAGUUUGAGAACCCAAGACCAAAUAUGCUGAAUCCCUUGAAGAUAAAGAAGUUUCUCCAAAACAACCAAGUGUUUUUUGAGCUGGGAAUAAUUAUGUUGUGGAAGAUAGAAGGAAGUAUAACAUAGUUACUUGCUUUUAAGAAGCAAAUAUUCUGACCAGAUAGAAACCAAGGAGGCUGGGCACUGUGGCUCACGCGUGUAAUCCCAGCACUUUGGGAGGCCAAAGAGGGCAGAUUA